rnacentral:rRNA from 1 species
UACGUAGGGGGCUAGCGUUGUCCGGAUUUAUUGGGCGUAAAGAGCGUGUAGGCGGCCAAGUAGGUCCGGUGUGAAAACUCGAGGCUUAACCUCGAGAUGUCAUCGGAAACCAUUUGGCUAGAGUCCGGAAGAGGAAAGUGGAAUUCCUGGUGUAGCGGUGAAAUGCGCAGAUAUCAGGAAGAACACCAAUGGCGAAAAGCAGCUUUCUGGGACGGUACUG